CAGCAGCCGCGGUAAAACAGAGGGUGCGAGCGUUAAUCGGAUUUACUGGGCGUAAAGCGUGCGUAGGCGGCUUCUUAAGUCGGAUGUGAAAUCCCUGAGCUUAACUUAGGAAUUGCAUUCGAUACUGGGAAGCUAGAGUAUGGGAGAGGAUGGUAGAAUUCCAGGUGUAGCGGUGAAAUGCGUAGAGAUCUGGAGGAAUACCGAUGGCGAAGGCAGCCAUCUGGCCUAAUACUGACGCUGAGGUACGAAAGCAUGGGUAGCAAACAGGAUUAGAUACCCCUGUAGUCCCUGUCUCUUAUAC
rnacentral:rRNA from 1 species